UAAGACCUUGCGCUUUUGGAGCGGCCGAUGUCUGAUUAGCUAGUUGGUGGGGUAAUGGCCUACCAAAGCUUCGAUCAGUAGCUGGUCUGAGAGGACGGCCAGCCACACUGGGACUGAGACACGGCCCAGACUCCUACGGGAGGCAGCAGUGGGGAAUUUUGGACAAUGGGCGCAAGCCUGAUCCAGCCAUGCCGCGUGAGUGAAGAAGGCCUUCGGGUUGUAAGGCUCUUUCAGCCGGGAAGAAAAGGCUGCGACUAAUAAUCGCAGUUCAUGACGGUACCGGAAGAAGAAGCACCGGCUAACUACGUGCCAGCAGCCGCGGUAAUACGUAGGGUGCGAGCGUUAAUCGGAAUUACUGGGCGCAAAGGGUGCGCAGGCGGUUUUGUAAGUCAGAUGUGAAAUCCCCGGGCUUAACCUGGGAACU
rnacentral:rRNA from 1 species